GAGUGGCGGACGGGUGAGUAAUGUCUGGGAAACUGCCUGAUGGAGGGGGAUAACUACUGGAAACGGUAGCUAAUACCGCAUAACGUCGCAAGACCAAAGAGGGGGACCUUCGGGCCUCUUGCCAUCAGAUGUGCCCAGAUGGGAUUAGCUAGUAGGUGGGGUAACGGCUCACCUAGGCGACGAUCCCUAGCUGGUCUGAGAGGAUGACCAGCCACACUGGAACUGAGACACGGUCCAGACUCCUACGGGAGGCAGCAGUGGGGAAUAUUGCACAAUGGGCGCAAGCCUGAUGCAGCCAUGCCGCGUGUAUGAAGAAGGCCUUCGGGUUGUAAAGUACUUUCAGCGGGGAGGAAGGUGUUGUGGUUAAUAACCGCAGCAAUUGACGUUACCCGCAGAAGAAGCACCGGCUAACUCCGUGCCAGCAGCCGCGGUAAUACGGAGGGUGCAAGCGUUAAUCGGAAUUACUGGGCGUAAAGCGCACGCAGGCGGUCUGUCAAGUCGGAUGUGAAAUCCCCGGGCUCAACCUGGGAACUGCAUUCGAAACUGGCAGGCUAGAGUCUUGUAGAGGGGGGUAGAAUUCCAGGUGUAGCGGUGAAAUGC
rnacentral:rRNA from 1 species